AGAGUUUGAUCCUGGCUCAAAUCAACGCUGGCGGCGCGCUUAACACAUGCAAGUCGCACGAGAAAAGGGAGCAAUCCCUGAGUAAAGUGGCGUACGGGUGAGUAACACGUGGAUCAUCUACCUUUUAGUGGGGAAUACCCCCGGGAAACUGGGGACAAUACCGCAUAAGCUCGUGAGAGGAAAGCAGCAAUGCGCUGAAAGAGGAGUCCGCGGCUGAUUAGCUAGUUGGUGAGGUAACGGCCCACCAAGGCGAAGAUCGGUAGCCGGCCUGAGAGGGCACACGGCCACACUGGCACUGAAACACGGGCCAGACUCCUACGGGAGGCAGCAGUGGGGAAUCUUGCACAAUGGGGGAAACCCUGAUGCAGCGACGCCGCGUGAGUGAUGAAGCCCCUCGGGGUGUAAAGCUCUUUCGACGGGAAAGAUAAUGACGGUACCCGAAGAAGAAGCUGCGGCUAACUACGUGCCAGCAGCCGCGGUAAUACGUAGGCAGCAAGCGUUGUUCGGAAUUACUGGGCGUAAAGAGUGUGUAGGCGGUGCUAUAAGUCUGUCGUGAAAUCUCCCGGCUUAACUGGGAGGGUGCGGCGGAAACUAUUGUGCUAGAGGGUGGGAGAGGUAAGCGGAAUUCCUGGUGUAGCGGUGAAAUGCGUAGAUAUCAGGAGGAACACCUGUGGUGUAGACAGCUUACUGGACCACUUCUGACGCUGAGACACGAAAGCGUGGGUAGCAAACAGGAUUAGAUACCCUGGUAGUCCACGCCCUAAACGAUGCAUACUUGGUGUGAGCCAUUC
rnacentral:rRNA from 1 species